CGUUCGACGAUUUUCCGGUUGAUCCCUGGCGGAGGUCACUGCUAUCGGGGUUCGAUUAAGCCAUGCGAGUCGAGAGGGUUCGGCCCUCGGCGUACUGCUCAGUAACACGUGGAUAACCUGCCCUAAGGAAGGGGAUACCCCCGGGAAACUGGGGAUAAUACCCUAUAGGUUACAGAUGCUGGAAUGCUCUGUACCCGAAAGUUCCGGCGCCUUAGGAUGGAUCUGCGGCCGAUUAGGUUGUUGUCGGGGUAACGGCCCAACAAGCCAGUAAUCGGUACGGGUUGUGGGAGCAAGAGCCCGGAGUUGGAUUCUGAGACACGAAUCCAGGCCCUACGGGGCGCAGCAGGCGCGAAAACUUUACAAUGCGGGCAACCGUGAUAAGGGAACCUCGAGUGCCUGUAUAUGCAGGCUGUCUGGGUGUCUAAAACACACCUAAAGAAAGGGCCGGGCAAGACCGGUGCCAGCCGCCGCGGUAAUACCGGCGGCUCGAGUGGUGGCCACUUUUAUUGGGCUUAAAGCGUUCGUAGCUGGGUUAUUAAGUCCCUUGGGAAAUCCGACGGCUUAACCGUCGGGCGUCUAAGGGAUACUGGCAAUCUUGGAACCGGGAGAGGUGAGGGGUACUUCGGGGGUAGGAGUGAAAUCCUGUAAUCCUCGAGGGACCACCUGUGGCGAAGGCGCCUCACCAGAACGGCUUCGACAGUGAGGGACGAAAGCUGGGGGAGCAAACCGGAUUAGAUACCCGGGUAGUCCCAGCCGUAAACGAUGUGCGUUAGGUGUAUCGGUGACCACGAGUCACCGAGGUGCCGAAGGGAAACCGUGAAACGUACCGCCUGGGAAGUACGGUCGCAAGGCUGAAACUUAAAGGAAUGGGCGGGGGGGCAC
rnacentral:rRNA from 1 species